rnacentral:rRNA from 1 species
GACGAACGCUGGCGGCGUGCCUAAUACAUGCAAGUUGAGCGAUGAAGAUUGGUGCUUGCACCUAUUUGAAGAGCAGCGAACGGGUGAGUAACGCGUGGGGAAUCUGCCUUUGAGCGGGGGACAACAUUUGGAAACGAAUGCUAAUACCGCAUAACAACUUUAAACAUAAGUUUUAAGUUUGAAAGAUGCAAUUGCAUCACUCUAAGAUGAUCCCGCGUUGUAUUAGCUAGUUGGUGAGGUAAAGGCUCACCAAGGCGAUGAUACAUAGCCGACCUGAGAGGGUGAUCGGCCAAAUUGGGACGGAGAAACGGCCCAAGCUCCUACGGGAGGCAGCCGUAAGGAAUCUUCCGCAAUUGACCAAAGUCUGACCGAGCAACGCCGCGUGAGUGAAGAAAGGUUUCGGAUCGUAAAACUCUGUUGGAAGAGAAGGACGUAAGUGAGAGUGGAAAGCUCAUCAAGUGACGGUAACUACCCAGAGAGGGACGGCUAACUACGUG